ensembl:lncRNA
GUGCCAGGACAAAGGGCCAGGAGCUUCAAAAAGGGACCCUGGAGGGGACAGCCAGGGAAAGAUCCACCUGAAGUCUAGCCUGGCUGCCCUCUGGAACACCUUAGAGAAGCUUGGCAGUGUCUCUAAUGCGUCUUUAGCCAUCAAUAGAAAUCUGAAGAAGCUUGAGGUAUGUGAGUCUGGGGAGGGUCCCUCUGGCACUGGGGUCCCCAGAUGAGCCCACUGCAGGUCGGAGUGCAUGACUUUGUCCUUUUCCAAACAGGAGCAGCAUUU